GGUUAAACUGUGAAAAAAAAUCCUCAAUAUACUUUAUUGUGCUGUUUGAUAAAAUAUAUAUUUUAUCAUUCGAGAUAUUUGCAUUUUAUUGGAUCAGUGUACAAUGGCUUUAAUGUGCACCAGUGCACACUAGUACAAUCCAAUCAAAUUCGCUAUUAAACUUUCUAUCUUGCUUUCGCCAAACUUCAAAUAUAUACGUAUCUAUUUCAAGUACAUCAAAUACACUAGUUUAGUUACAAAGUACUUUUGUCUCAAAGUAGACAGUGGACACGAUUGGGAGAUUUCUAUCUAAAACAAAUAAACCAACGAAAUUAUUUAUCUCUAUUCUAUAUGAAUGUAUAUACGCUAUCGUUUGUGUUGGAAUAAAAAAGUUGCAUUAAGAUUUAAUAAAAUGACAGUGAUGAACAUUUAUCAAAGUUUUAAUUUUUCAAAAAAAGAAUUUGCUUUUCCUUUUUUUUCUUUUUUUCAAUAAAAAGGUUUUAAAUAUAUCGAUUUGAUUCUAGUAUAGAUAAUAGCGACAUUCACAUAUAUAAAUUACAACAAUUAACAAUUUUGUUAGUUUAUUUGUUUUAAAUGAAUAAAAGUUCUUCAAUCAAAUCCAUUUAAGACAGAAUGUGCGGUUUAUAGUUUCGAGAAUAUUGGCUUUAGAGACUCAAAAGUACAUGCAUGUAGUUUAAUCAUGAAUAAAUAUGUAUACAAAAUCUUAAAUUUAUUUCUUGAAUAACUUGGCUUUAAAAAAUCAUGAAAUUAAAUCUUGAAAAUCGUUUUCUAGAAUCCUCCCUUAAAUGAAGACUAAAAAAUAGAAGAUUGUAUAAUUACCUAAAAAAAUUAAGUGACGAAAGUUGAUAGCUUUGCAUGUGGACAAACAGCGUUUUUGCGUUAAUUUUAGAAUAACUGCCUUUACUUAGUUUUAGUUUGUACAUAUACUAGAGCGAGAAAUCGUUGAAAGACUUCCAUGCGCGCACGUCGUAUAUUCGCGACAAUUAUGAUUAUAGUUCUCCAAUGUUCUUUUAUGUACGUGCGACUAUGUAUGUAUGUAUGCACUAGGUACAUGAAUUUAGAAGAUGGUACUAAAAACACACUGGAUUCUGGUAUCACGUAAUACAACCAAAGACUUCAUACACACAUGCGUAUGUCAAAUAACAGUAUUUUAGGUCAUUCGCGCUGGAGUCUUUUUUUUAUUCUUUGCAAGUCUGAUAAUUUAAUAAUAUUUCUUGAAUGGAGGAUUUUUGCAUGAAGGAGGAGUGAUGGAAUAUCUUUUUUUUUUUCUUUUGAAUCAGAUGAUGAUUUUUUCUCAGUUUUUCUCAUUGAGAUUAUAGAUAACAUAAGGUAAUAGAACUUUUUAAACAAUGAAUGUGCAUUUAUAGGAUUCGUGUUUAAGCACUGUUUUCGACAGUGAAUGUGCGUUAACAAGACUUUAUGCGUUUAUCCCGCAAGAGAAUUGUUAUUGUAUAGUGAUAACACACAAAAAAAGAUAGCUAAAAAAAGCGAUAUGUAUUUUUCAGAUCGAAAUAUUUUUGAAUAAAACAUGUGUAAUGUAAAAGUUUACAGACUGCUUCUUUAUAUAUUUUUCACGAGUGCAUCGAGUGUGUGCAGUCUGUGGUUGAGCGCUGCAGAAAGUAGCGUUAUGCAGUCUUACGCAAUGUCGUACAAUGAAAUGACCGUCUGUGACACUAACGCGGAAAUAUUAAUACGUUGAACUUUGCGUCGCCUCCAGAACGAACUCUUUGCACUCUGAGCUUCAACAGGAUGGUAUGAUAUUACAUAAUGCGGAAUAUGACAACAGUACAAAGGUAUAAAAUUAUCCGAUAUCUGUGUGCUGUCCUCACUCCCUCUGUUCUUCUCUCUUCCUCUUUCCUCUAUUAUUAUAUUUAAUAUUAAAUGUACUGAAUUGAUAUUGAAUUUUCAUUCUAUGUUUACUUGUAUUCUUGGCGUGUAUUUGGCGUUAAAUAUUACGUUUUUACUUGGUAUUUGAACACGAUUUUUAUAUCGGACAAAUUACAAUCGAAGACAUCUGUCUGUAUAUUGGGACUUAAUUAAUGUAGAUUUAAA